rnacentral:rRNA from 1 species
UACAGAGGUGGCAAGCGUUGUUCGGAAUUACUGGGCGUAAAGGGCGCGUAGGCGGCCUUCUAAGUCAGACGUGAAAUCCCCCGGCUUAACCUGGGAACUGCGUCUGAUACUGGAGGGCUUGAGUGCGGGAGAGGGAUGUGGAAUUCCAGGUGUAGCGGUGAAAUGCGUAGAUAUCUGGAGGAACACCGGUGGCGAAGGCGGCAUCCUGGACCGGUAUUGACGCUGAGGAGCGAAAGCCAGGGGAGCAAACGGG